GCCAAGACUAUGGAGUUGACGGUGGGAUCUUCAUGCUGAUGUCUGCUCUGUACGUGGCACUGGAUGCACCAUUUGACUAUACUAUAUCAGACAUGCCCUACAUGUGUAAAUGGUGGUGCUUGCUGUUGAUGGAGAACUUUGAUCUCAGGAGGUAUUUAUAUUUUGACUUCUGUUCUAUGUUGUGUCAAAGUUUACACACCUUAACAAUAUCAAAAUUUUCUGUUAAGCUC